rnacentral:rRNA from 1 species
GUGGUUUAAUUCGAUGCAACGCGAAGAACCUUACCUGGUCUUGACAUCCACAGAACUUUCCAGAGAUGGAUUGGUGCCUUCGGGAACUGUGAGACAGGUGCUGCAUGGCUGUCGUCAGCUCGUGUUGUGAAAUGUUGGGUUAAGUCCCGCAACGAGCGCAACCCUUAUCCUUUGUUGCCAGCGGUCCGGCCGGGAACUCAAAGGAGACUGCCAGUGAUAAACUGGA